AACGAACGCUGGCGGCGUGCCUAAGACAUGCAAGUCGUACGGAAAGGCCCCCUUCGGGGGGCACUCGAGUGGCGCACGGGUGAGUAACGCGUGGGUAAUCUGCCUUAGGGUCUAGGACAACCCCGGGAAACUGGGGCUAAUACCGGAUAAGACCACGAGCUCCUCGGAGCUUGCGGGAAAAGAUGGCCUCUCCUUGGAAGCUAUCGCCCUUCGAUGAGCCCGCGUCCCAUUAGCUAGUUGGUGAGGUGACGGCUCACCAAGGCUUUGAUGGGUAGCUGGUCUGAGAGGAUGAUCAGCCACACUGGAACUGAGACACGGUCCAGACUCCUACGGGAGGCAGCAGUCGGGAAUUUUGGGCAAUGGGCGAAAGCCUGACCCAGCAACGCCGCGUGAGGGAUGAAGGCCCUCGGGUCGUAAACCUCUGUCGGGAGGGAAGAACGGUUCACGUUCGAACAGGACGGGAGCCUGACGGUACCUCCAAAGGAAGCACCGGCUAACUCCGUGCCAGCAGCCGCCGUAA
rnacentral:rRNA from 1 species